UGGCUCAGGAUGAACGCUGGCGGCGUGCUUAACACAUGCAAGUCGAACGAAGUUAAGUGAAACCUAGUGAUCUUAACUUAGUGGCGGACGGGUGAGUAACGCGUGGGUAACCUGCCGCAUGCAGGGGGACAACAGUUGGAAACGACUGCUAAUACCGCAUAAGCGCACGGGACCGCAUGGUCCAGUGUGAAAAAGAUUUAUCGGCAUGCGAUGGACCCGCGUCCGAUUAGCCAGUUGGCGGGGUAACGGCCCACCAAAGCUACGAUCGGUAGCCGGCCUGAGAGGGUGAACGGCCACAUUGGGACUGAGACACGGCCCAAACUCCUACGGGAGGCAGCAGUGGGGAAUAUUGCACAAUGGGGGAAACCCUGAUGCAAGCGACGCCGCGUGAGUGAUGAAGUAUUUCGGUACGUAAAGCUCUAUCAGCAGGAAAGAAAAUGACGGUACCUGACUAAGAAGCCCCGGCUAACUACGUGCCAGCAGCGGC
rnacentral:rRNA from 1 species